AAAAGAUCCAUACAGGGGAGAAGCCAUAUAAAUCUGUGCAGUGUGGAAAGAACUUCAGAAGGAGCAAUGACGUAACUUCCCAUACAGAGAUCCAUUUGGUUAGGGAUACUCAGGAGAAUGAGAAUGAAAGAGACUGCAUUAUGCUGACAUCGCAAAUGAUCAAGCAAGAAGGGAGACCUUUGGAAAUCAGUGGGGACCAAAAUAAAAUAAUAUGAAAUUAAGAAGAACUACUUCAGAAAACUACUUCAGUUCUUCCUGGCCAAACACAGAGAAAUGAAAACGGGAACUGCCUCUGGGAUGUCAAAAUACCAAAAAAUAAUCAGACUGGCAUCCAUGCUGUAGAACUGAGACCCAAGUCAACCAUAUCAAUGUAGAGUGUGUGGAAAGAGCUUCCGGAUGAAGAAUUCCUCUCUCACAAAAGGAGCCAGAAUGACAAGAAGCCCCUGAAAUGCAUGUGCAAAAGACUUUUCAAGCAUUAGGGCCACAUUUGCCUUUCUGUGGUGUGAGGAGGGCUAAGAAAAAGUCUAAAUUUGAUUGAAAUAAAAUUAAUUAAAUAUCAA